CUUUCUUUGCUGGCGACCGGCGCACGGGUGAGUAACACGUAUCCAACCUGCCCUUUACUCGGGGAUAGCCUUUCGAAAGAAAGAUUAAUACCCGAUAGUAUAAUGAUUCCGCAUGGUUUCAUUAUUAAAGGAUUCCGGUAAAGGAUGGGGAUGCGUUCCAUUAGGUUGUUGGUGAGGUAACGGCUCACCAAGCCUUCGAUGGAUAGGGGUUCUGAGAGGAAGGUCCCCCACAUUGGAACUGAGACGCGGUCCAA
rnacentral:rRNA from 1 species